GAAGUGAUUUUUAACUAAUUUUGCCUUGUUUUGGGCGCUUUUUAGAGAUCUUUUAAACGCAAAAUUGCUUGCUGGGCAAACACUUGUGUUAUACUAUUUAUCAACAGACAAUCAGUUUAUAAAAGUGUCUGCAACCAAUUACGGGCGUACAAACAGCACAGCCUGCUCUACUGGAAAACCAGCUGACCAGAUCUCAAAUGUUCAGUGCACUCAGAGUUCAUCCCUAAGUGUGCUGGCCACUCAAUGUGAUGGACUAAAAGAUUGUUCUGUUCCUGCAAGUACCACAGUUUUUGGUGAUCCUUGUGCAGGAACCUACAAAUACCUGAAUGUGUCCUACACCUGUGGCCCAGACCCAGCCAAUUUAACCUAGAAGAGAAAAUAUCGACACAUCAGAAAUCAUCUCUGUGACCAGAGUGAGGUGGAAAUCUUCUGGUUUAUUUAUUCCUCUGUUUUUUCAUGAGAUUUAAUAAUUAAAUUUAAUAAAUGUAAUUUUGUAUUAGAACGAACAUGUUUAUACCAUUGUGUAAUAUCUUAAAUCAGUGGAAGUUUGUCAUAGUUGCUUUUAAUCACU